CCUACGGGAGGCAGCAGUAGGGAAUCUUCCACAAUGGGCGAAAGCCUGAUGGAGCAACGCCGCGUGAGUGAUGAAGGCCUUCGGGUUGUAAAACUCUGUCAUUCGGGACGAACCGGAGUCUGAGGAAAUGCAGACUCUCUGACGGUACCGGAGGAGGAAGCCCCGGCUAACUACGUGCCAGCAGCCGCGGUAAUACGUAGGGGGCAAGCGUUGUCCGGAUUCACUGGGCGUAAAGCGCGCGCAGGCGGUGAUGUAAGUCUGAGGUGAAAACCCGAAGCUCAACUUCGGGACUGCCUUGGAUACUGCGUCACUUGAGGAUAGGAGAGGCAAGGGGAAUUCCACGUGUAGCGGUGAAAUGCGUAGAGAUGUGGAGGAACACCUGUGGCGAAGGCGCCUUGCUGGCCUAUUUCUGACGCUGAGGCGCGAAAGCGUGGGGAGCAAACAGGAUUAGAUACCCUGGUAGUCCACGCUGUAAACGAUGAGUGCUAGGUGUAGGUGGGCUCAUACCCAUCUGUGCCGAAGCUAACGCAUUAAGCNCNCCGCCGUGGGAGGUACGGUCGCGACGACGUAGAACGUACGAAGGAAGUUAGACGGCGUUGAGGACGNGGCCGACGGACGACGACGAGGGAGGUUAGG
rnacentral:rRNA from 1 species